UACGGAGGGUGCGAGCGUUGUUCGGAAUCACUGGGCGUAAAGGGCGUGUAGGCGGUCUGUUAAGUCUGAUGUGAAAGCCCGGGGCUCACCCCCCGGAAGUGCAUUGGAUACUGGCGGACUCGAGUCUCGGAGAGGAGGGUGGAAUUCCUGGUGUAGCGGUGAAAUGCGCAGAUAUCAGGAGGAACACCAGCGGCGAAGGCGGCGCUCUGGGCCGGAUACUGACACUGAGGAGCGAAAGCGUGGGUAGCAAACAGG
rnacentral:rRNA from 1 species